rnacentral:ncRNA from 1 species
CUUAUCAAGAGUGGCAGAGGGACAGGCCCUGUGAAGCCCGGCAACCGCGUAAAGACGGUGCUAAUUCCUACAAGAUAUUUUCUUGAAAGAUGAGG